UCAGAGAAUGAAGGUUGCGGAGAUGAGAAUGCUCAGGUGGAUGUGCGGGCUCACCAGGAUAGAUAAGAUUAAGAAUGAAGUUAUUCGAGAGAGGGCGAGGGAGGCCCCGGUGGAUGAGAAGAUGCGAGAAGCGAGGCUGAGGUGGUUCUGGCAUGUGCGGGGGAGAAGUCCUGAUGCCCCGGUGAGGAGUUGUGAACGGCUGGCGAUGGUCGGCGUUCGACGAGGCAGAAGGAGGCCUAAGAGGUGUUGGGGGAGGUGAUUAGGCAUGACAUGGCUAGAAUGCCGGUUUCCGAGGACAUGACCCUUGAUAGGGAAGUCUGGAGGUCUAGUAUCAGGGUUGUAGGAUAUGGGCUCCUAGAGUUUUCCCCGGUGGAUGAGAAGAUGCGAGAAGCGAGGCUGAGGUGGUUCGGGCAUGUGCGGAGAUGCCCCGGUGAGGAGUUGUGAACGGCUGGCGAUGGUCGGCGUUCGACGAGGCAGAGGGAGGCCUAAG
rnacentral:lncRNA from 1 species